CGAUCAAAACACCGGUUCUCGUUCGAUCACCGAAGUUAAGCAUUAAGCAUCGUAGAUGGGGAGCCAGGUCCAGUAGUUCUUAGAUGGGGGACCGCUUGGGAACACCUGGUACUGUAAGC